rnacentral:rRNA from 1 species
UAACGCGUGGGUAACCUGCCUUAUACAGGGGGAUAACAGUCAGAAAUGGCUGCUAAUACCGCAUAAGCGCACAGAGCUGCAUGGCUCAGUGUGAAAAACUCCGGUGGUAUAAGAUGGACCCGCGUUGGAUUAGCUAGUUGGUGGGGUAACGGCCCACCAAGGCGACGAUCCAUAGCCGGCCUGAGAGGGUGAACGGCCACAUUGGGACUGAGACACGGCCCAGACUCCUACGGGAGGCAGCAGUGGGGAAUAUUGCACAAUGGGGGAAACCCUGAUGCAGCGACGCCGCGUGAAGGAAGAAGUAUCUCGGUAUGUAAACUUCUAUCAGCAGGGAAGAUAGUGACGGUACCUGACUAAGAAGCCCCGGCUAACUACGGUGCCAGC